GGCAUAUCAAUGAAACAACAUGAGGAGAUGAGUGUGUUCUCAGUAGUGGAUGUGUAUUUUGAAGAUGUACAGGAUGUGCCCAGAACUGAAUGACUUAUUAUCGAACCUUUGGCUAUGGUUAUGAUGAACUAUGAUAGUGAAGGCAUUGAAGAGUAUGAAGAGACAGUUUGUGCCUUGGCUGGCAUAGGGUCAUAUCCUUAUGCUCCU
rnacentral:lncRNA from 1 species